UAUGAGUUUAUUAUAUAUUGAUAUAAGUAUAUUAUAUUUAACACGUUAAGUAUAAUUCAUUUCACAUCACACGUUCUCGCCUAAGUGUUAACUUGUUAACGUCAAUGUGUCCAAAAACUCAUUUGUUACUGGAUUCAUCAUCAUCUACUGCAGUUUCACUAGUGUUUAAUUGUUGAAAAAAUGAAUCGGAGGAAUAAAUUUUAGCAAAUCUAACAUAGCUUCUUCUUAGCCGCAGAAACAGGACGCAUAGAUGGGUAUAAAUUUUCUUGUUCUAUAUUCAUAUUCUUCAAUUGUAAUGGUCUGCUACACCGAAUAUUUAAUGUGUAUCAAAUUCAGCAUCUGAAGAAAAUGUAGUUUCAUAGAAAAUAUCGAAUUGUUUUUCCCGUUCAACCACUAAUGCAACCACUAAAUGAAACAAUCAAUACUGGUGUUAUGUCCAGGCCCCAAAAUUCUUUUAUUUCGAUUGGAAGAAGGAGUUAGGAGGAGGGGGGGAGAGGCCAAGGAAGGACGCAACUGACACCGCUCUUGUAAAUAGUUAUCGCUCUGAGGCGAGUAUCACAAGUCGGACGCACUUGAUUAUGUUUUAGAUAUGGGUCAAUGUCGAUACGCGACGCUAUUACCCAAUCUGAGAUUGUGCAUUCAUCGGUCCUCUUUCAGGUCAAAGAGCUUAAUCCUUUUGACUAGAAUCUGUACGAUCUUUGUCAAGACGCAGUGAAUCGGAAGGGCGGUGAAAUAGAAUUUAAGCAAUCAUUUAGAAAUGUUCAUAUAUAAUUUUUCUAUAGUUCUCUUAAUUAAGAUUAGAUACAGAUGUAUGCGCGUACUUAUAUAAUCAUGUUAAUGUAUGAAAUUUGCAAUAAUAUAAAAAUAUAUGCAUGAAGAGUAAGUACCGUGUGUGUGAUGGAUGUUGUUUUAUAAAAAUCGAUGUUAAUGAAAAAUACUAUAGAUUCCUGCGUGCGUGCGUGCGGGCGGGCAGGCGUGCGUGCGUAUUAAAGGAGAGGAGAGGAACUUUUUAUGGAUCUGAUGAGGAUUCUAGUGACUGGAAUAUUUCAUCGUAGGACCUGUUGUCUUCCGGAGGGACUGGAGAGUGAGAGAGAGUAGAGGAUUCUGUGUUUUGGAAAUUAUCGGAGGUAGGAGAAUAAAAGGGAGAAGGGAAUUCAAAACCUAAGGAAAGGUUUGAAGGUGUAUUGCUGGGGGAACUAUCGGUUGGCUUGUCGGAGGUAAGAUCUAUCACAGAGUUGGGAGAACCUUGAUCUCGAUAUUUUUGGCGCAAAUGAGCCCUUUUUAGUUGGCGACGGGCUUGAGG